UGUCGGGUCCCAAAAUACGUGGUCUAAAGUCCUUUGGGCUCCUGCCGCUGCCAGCACUGAUCAUAUGCUCUUGACCCUGGUCGGGUGGGGGGAUGUCUGGAUACCUCCUCUGUGGAAAGAACUGGCCACACAUCCGCAGAGGUGACUCGGGCUGAGAACCCAGGCUCCUCCUCCCUUUGGUGACACGCCCCUCGGUCCCUCACUGGCACUUCUCCCUCCGGCCACACGGCGGCGUCUCGCCAUAGCGCAGCGGCCGAUGGUACAGCCCGCUCCCCCCUCGCGCUCUCGGACAGUGGGUCCUUCCACUUGUAGAAAAGCAUUGUGGGACGGAAGCCUGUCCUUUCUUCCUUUUGGUGCGAGCUUGCUGUGGUUUUUGCUCUGGGUCCUCUGGGAUGGCGCCUGGCUGUGGCCGCGUGGUCUCUCACGCAGGGGCGCCGGGCGGGGGAACGCGGCCACCCUGAGUCUGGUGAGUCGACUGCGGCGGCCUGUGUCCGAAGUGUCCGGGGCCGUGAACAAGGGCAGCGGCCUGGCCUCAGGCCUGCGUUCCCACGUUUGGAAACGGGGAGCUUCGUCGAUUUGUGUUUACAUCAUCGACUAUGCCAGGGAGUUCUCCAGAUAAGCCUGGUUUUAUUUUCGUCAGUGAAAAGGCCUUACCGUAUAACUGACUUUAUGCUUGCCCUGCCCCCGUAUAAAAUAACUUAAAAGCAGCGUGCCUGGUUACAGCUGUUUCCACGUGCGGUGCUCGUCGGGAGUGAUCACCUACCCUACAGGUGGAAGAUGGAUGCCUGAAGUGUAGACUGCUGCUAGCUGAAUACCAUCUGGGAGCAUAAAGGUGACCUGAAGGAUGUCCUUGGUGAGGAUUUUGAAAAUUUGAUCUUCACAAGAGUUGCCUGGAUCAUUUGAAAUUUCUGGGAGUCUGAGGAGUACUGACAUAAUUACCUGCUGGAGUCUGUAAAUACACAUUUAAGACAGUGAGGAUGUGAAUAAAUAUAUUAAUGCACUUUGGCAUUUGUGUUUUAAGUGAUUAACUGCCAGAAACAGCUAUUUCUAAAAAGUUAUAAGGGAGGAGGGGUUCUUUUUUGAUCAGUAUUCACUGCUGUCACCAUAAUUAAUAGCCUUAAAAUAGCUUGUGUUUGGCCCAAAGAGAAAUGUACUUUCUUCCAGUGACUCAAAAAUCGUGGCUAGAACUAGACU